GUCUAUGCCAGAAUUCCUUUGAACCGGAAAUUAGACUCUUUGCUCCAAGAGACAAGGGGAUUACAAAACACUUUAAAUGUCCUCCUUUUUCUCCUUUUUACUGCAAAGCUCCAAUGAACUCCAAACCCAGGAGUAUUCACCGUAACACAACAGAUUAACCAAAUAGAGCUGGGAAGUCAUUUGGGAUCUUUUUCCUUUACACAGCCUCAUGUGAGCACAGGGCUCGGGGGAGCGCGGGGAGGAGGCUGCCUUAGCCGAGGCGGGCGCAGCUUCACUAGGCGCAGCAAUUACUCUGAAAACAUCUGGAGCAUGAAAUUUUAAAACACCAGAAUUGCAAUGGCUCGAGUUUGUACCUGGGAUAUUUCUUGUGCAAUACCACACCACCAGCGAGGCCUGAAAGAAAGAGUUCCUGGUAUGUAGAUCUGUCCUCCUCCUGGACCUGUGCAGAAGCAAAGGCAGAGAUUUGAAGCCGUCUCCAGCAGGACACUCCAAUCCUCCCUGUCCUCCUGAUUCCCAAGCAGGAGGAAAUCCAGAAGUCACCAAGGACAGCUUAUGUGUUAGCCCCACAGAAGGGCUGCCCAGCUUUCUGCUAUUCUGUGUCCACACUGCAGGACAGUCUGAACAGGAUCUCUGCCCACUUCCACCUCUGAUUCACAGGUUGGUUCGCUGGAAGAAUAUAAGCCUGGGAGCCACUGUGUUGAGUCUGUCGAAGGAUAAAGCAAAACCAAGUAGUGGGAAAACAUGGAUCAUCCAAAUGAUAUUGAAUGAGUCCUCUGACUUGGCCCACCCUACGUGA
rnacentral:lncRNA from 1 species